rnacentral:rRNA from 1 species
UACGUAGGGGGCAAGCGUUGUCCGGAAUCAUUGGGCGUAAAGAGCGUGUAGGCGGCUCGGUAAGUCCGCUGUGAAAGUCCAGGGCUCAACCCUGGAAUGCCGGUGGAAACUGUCGAGCUAGAGUCCGGAAGAGGCGAGUGGAAUUCCUGGUGUAGCGGUGAAAUGCGCAGAUAUCAGGAGGAACACCAAUGGCGAAGGCAGCUCGCUGGGACGUGACUGACGCUGAGACGCGAAAGCGUGGGGGAGCAAACAGG